rnacentral:rRNA from 1 species
AGUGAACGCUGGCGGUAGGCCUAACACAUGCAAGUCGAACGGCAGCACAGUAAGAGCUUGCUCUUACGGGUGGCGAGUGGCGGACGGGUGAGGAAUACAUCGGAAUCUACUUUUUCGUGGGGGAUAACGUAGGGAAACUUACGCUAAUACCGCAUACGACCUACGGGUGAAAGCAGGGGAUCUUCGGACCUUGCGCGAUUGAAUGAGCCGAUGUCGGAUUAGCUAGUUGGCGGGGUAAAGGCCCACCAAGGCGACGAUCCGUAGCUGGUCUGAGAGGAUGGUCAGCCACACUGGAACUGAGACACGGUCCAGACUCCUACGGGAGGCAGCAGUGGGGAAUAUUGGACAAUGGGCGCAAGCCUGCUCCAGCCAUACCGCGUGGGUGAAGAAGGCCUUCGGGUUGUAAAGCCCUUUUGUUGGGAAAGAAAAGCAGCGGGUUAAUACCCCGCUGUUCUGACGGUACCCAAAGAAUAAGCACCGGCUAACUUCGUG